rnacentral:lncRNA from 1 species
GAAAAAAAAGGGGGGUCCCCGGCUGGGAUAGUCUUCGAUUGGUUCUGCCGUGGUAGGGUGUGCGUGAGGUGGAAGAAGGGCUGUUCCUCCACGGCACGGUGGAGGAGUUCUGAAGUCCUAAAGUUGGGGCAGGACCUGCAGCAUGGUCGGAGAAGGGGCAAGAGGCCCGGCGGGAAGAAGCAGCAAGAGUAAGACAAGUAGGUCAGGGCCUGCUUAGUACUGAGGGCCAGACGGCCAGAACGAGCGUCGGGAGACAGGAGGAGUGUCCGGGGUUUUCGCCCUCCUUUUUUCUCUUACCAAACCCAAAUGGUCCUGCUCCCCAGGUCGUGGAAUUAAGGGAAGAAGCAGAAAAGUUCUAGAAGAGGACUGGAGAAGUAGAAGGACUACAGACCCCAUGAUGCACAUGGAAAUGGGCGUAAAUCUGCACGACUUGUUCCGGGGCAUGCGCAUGUGUAAGCGCACAAUAAUCUCUUAAGAAUUAAAGAAACCUUGUAACAAAGAAAAGUAGUGAAGAAAAGCCUUAAGGAAAAGAGAAGGAAUGUGUGUAGUCCCUCUGCUUAAGGAAAAGAUAGAGGGUGGGAAGAUCUUCCUUCAACAAUUUAGAUCAACAUUUGUUAGGUAUAUGUGGUUUGCCAGGAAACUGCAUGUGUGUUGUGGACCAUAUGUGUUGAAGAUGCAGUGAUCAAAAAGACUUAGUCCCAGCUAUUAAGGAGAUCACAGUUUGGCAGCAAAUUAUUAUAGAAUGUGAUGGCUGUUCUAACAGACAUAUAAAGGAAGUGCUAUGGAUGGAAGCACAGAGGAAGAAGAGGUUAAUAGUGUCUAAGAACCUAGAAGGGAUGAAGAUGAAAAUUGAGAUUUGAAAGGUGAGAAAGUCAUUAAGACAAGGAUGACUUAAAGGUAUUCCAAACUCCUAAGAAAUACAGGGAGUUUUGGUGGAUGCAGAAUGAUUGAGGAAGGCUGUGAAAGUCUUCUCUUAACAAAAAUCUCUUUCUGUAAUGGUUGCUUGUUUAUGGGAUGAGAAACUAGGGGGUCAUUUGCUUGCUUAAAGCCUCUGGCUUCUCCUGAUGCAACUUCCAGGCCAGUCUACCUUCUCUUCUCAAAUCCCCCAGCUUUUGCUUCAAGUUUACUUCCAGCCUGGCAAGGAGUGAGUCUUCUGAGCACAACCACCCAGUGUCCAAGCAGGGCGGGAACACCUCCUUCCUCAUCUCUCCCACACAUACUCCUUCCAUACCCACCAAGAAGAAAGGCAGCCAGGAAGAGUGGACAGGUCCAGAACCACAGAGGGUGAUGAACAGAUGCAGAAGUAUCAAUCCUGAGGCUAAAGAGUAAUUGGGCAAAGUUUUGGUGAGACACUCCCAUUGCCACUGAUGAUAAGGAAUGUUUUCUCUUGAAAGGCUUAAAAUUGGUGGAAAGCGGUGGCUCACGUCCGUAAUCCAAGCACUUUGGGAGGCUGGGGCAGGUGGAUGGACUGAGCUCAAGAGUUCAAGAUCAGCCUGGGCAACAUGGUGAAACCCUGUUUCUACAAAAAAUUUAAAAAUAUUAGCCAGGUGUGGUGGCACGUGCUCCCAGCCUGGGCAACACCUCCCAGUACUUGGGAGGCUGAGGAGGGAGGAUAUCGUGAGCCGUGGAGGUGGUUGCAGUGAGCCGAGAC